AAGAUUUUCUCUCUCCCUCUCCCUGUCCUUCCGACCACCCCCUGGCUCACUGAUUGCUCUCUCUCUCUUUCUCCCUCUCAUAAAAAAAAAAAAAAAAAAAAAAAAAGGAAUGAAUGAAAGAGAAAGCUUGCAGAAGGGGAGAAAUGUCAGAAUAGAAUGAAAUAAAUCCUACCAGUUCCCAUUGCUGUUUUCUAGGGUGUGAAGAGUACACUGACCAAACUAACUCUCCACCCAGUGACCUUCUACAGUCUUCCAUAAUACCACCACAAAGAGAGCAGAUUCAGGAGAUUUUGGAGAGUUCAUGGAUAUCUUCAGGCAUACCAACCAGAGAAAAAAAUACAAGUUCCUAUUCCACAGUUCAUCCUGAUUGUUUCCUUUCCAUGAACUUUUGUUAUUCCAAAUAUGCUUUCAGGAUUUAAACUCUCAAUUAAUGUGUUUUGUUCAUACAACAAAGCCUAUUUCUCCUCAUGUUCGUGGAAAUGAUUAGUGAGUGGAAAAUGGCUCAAAAUUAAUAAAGACAAUAUUAG
rnacentral:lncRNA from 12 species